rnacentral:rRNA from 1 species
CCUACGGGAGUCAGCAGUGGGGAAUAUUGGGCAAUGGGCGCAAGCCUGACCCAGCAACGCCGCGUGAAGGAAGAAGGCUCUCGGGUUGUAAACUUCUUUUAUCAUGGACGAAGCAAGUGACGGUACCUGAUGAAUCAGCCACGGCUAACUACGUGCCAGCAGCCGCGGUAAUACGUAGGUGGCAAGCGUAAUACGGAUUUAUUGGGUUUAAAGGGUGCGCAGGCGGAAGAUCAAGUGAGCGGUAAAAUUGAGAGGCUCAACCUCUUCGAGCCGUUGAAACUGGUUUUCUUGAGUGAGCGAGAAGUAUGCGGAAUGCGUGGUGUAGCGGUGAAAGGCAUAGAUAUCACGCAGAACUCCGAUUGCGAAGGCAGCAUACCGGCGCUCAACUGACGCUCAUGCACGAAAGUGUGGGUAUCGAACAGGAUUAGAUACCCCGGUAGUC